CAGCUUCCAAGAUGAUGUUGUGAUUACACAAAUCCCAUCAAAGAUCAUAUUGAAGGAAUAUUAAACUGAAUUAACGUUCCACUUUGCCCGAUGAUCGUUUCUUGGUUAUUAUUAAUUUACCAUACAACGAUUAAUCCUAACAUGCUCCUAUGAAUUUAACAGCUGCACACAGGUGUUAGGAUUUACUUACUUGUGAAUCGGAUGCACAGAUGAUUGAUGAUCGUAUCGAACAACUCCAGUUCUGAUCUUCUAGACUGUAUCCCGCUCAAGUCUCACCGUUGGAUGGACAACGAACUAUGGAAAACCCAAGCAAAAAAUCACAAACGUUUCCUGCGCCCCGCUCAGCUCUCAAACCCUAUAUUAUCAGAGUGUUUCCCUGAGAGCUGACAACUGUAUUUAAUACAGAAAAAAAGCGAAGGCGCCAGAUUUAGGGUAGGGCACGAUUUCUGGCUCUUCUGGGCUAGGAGACAUUGGGCCAGCCCAGGGACCAAAUACAAGGAAUAAAGAUGGGCCUAAAAAUAAAUUAAUUAUCUAUGGUCAGCCCAGACCAUAAUUAAUUAUAAAUAUCAGUUCAUUCCACUAGAGAACCAAUACUGACUUACCCUUCAUUACCGGUGAUGAGUCGGGCUUGUAUUUAGACUUAUUAAAUCCCCGUAUUUAAAAUAUCCGACAUCCAUUAAUUAAUUAGAGCUCUGACAGCCUAAAUUAAUUAAUCUCUUAAUAAUCCUUAAGCAGUACCACUCAAAACUUAUUAUUGCGCCUGAACUUAAUCAACCUGCAGGGUUUAGCGCAAUAAACAUUAUUGAGCUCCUUAAGGGGAUGUCAUUAUCCUAUACGGAUACGAGUACCAAUACAGAUAAUCAGAUAUCAUAUAUUAACCGCUAUCACCCAAGAUACAGAGUACUCAAGUUACUAUAUAACUCUUGCUCAUAGUAAGUCAAAGUGAUAGACGAAUCAAUAUAUAUAUCUGACAUCUUAUUAAUAUUAAGAUCUUAUAAGUCACCGAGAUCUCUAAUUCUUCACUUAAGUCCGAUAGAAGAAUAUAUCUCACUAUGGUCCUAUCAAUACGUAUUACGUACCAGUAUAGAUAAGUAGUCAAGACAAACUAGUUCCAUCUAUACCGCAACCUAAACCAAUAACUUGUCCUAGAGUUAUUUCGGUUGUGAUCAUAUUAUAUCUCUUAAGGUUAAUCCAAUUAUAUGGUCUUCUGUGAUCUACAACACACCAUAUAAUCUACUUAUAUAGAGAUAAAGAACAUACAUAUGCAAUCAUGAACCCAAUCAGAUAGGAGAUUAAAUAGUGAAAACAAGAAUCAUUGUAUACAAGCAUAAAACGUUCUUGCUUUCAGUAUACAAAUCCAACACAUAUAAGUCAUGGUUUUGCCCAAGUAAAGAAAUAGAAUAUUUCCCAAAUCCCUAUCAUGCUUACAUGUUCCCAUAAAAUACCCUAAGAUCAUAAUUUUGCCUAGUGAUAAAGCAUAAUACUCCCCCAUCAUGCUCACAUGCUUCCACGAGAUAAAAUU
rnacentral:lncRNA from 1 species